rnacentral:rRNA from 1 species
AGAGUUUGAUCCUGGCUCAGGAUAAACGCUGGCGGCGUGCCUAACACAUGCAAGUCGAACGUCCUUCUCUUUCGGGAGAAGGGAGUGGCGGACGGGUGAGUAACACGUGGGUCAUCUGCCCCAAAGUGAGGAAUACCGGCGAGAAAUCGCCGACAAUACCCCAUACGCUUCCGUGAGGAAGCAAAGCUCGUAAGGGCGCUUUGGGAGGAGCCUGCGGCAGAUUAGUUAGUUGGUGGGGUUAUGGCCUACCAAGACGACGAUCUGUAGCUGGUCUGAGAGGACGAUCAGCCACACUGGGAUUGAGAACGGCCCAGACUCCUACGGGGGGCAGCAGUGAGGAAUUUUCGGCAAUGGGGGCAACCCUGACCGAGCAACGCCGCGUGCAGGACGAAGGUCUUCGGAUCGUAAACUGCUUUUCUGCAGGACGAGUACGGACGGUACUGCAGGAAGAAGCCUCGGCUAACUACGUGCCAGCAGCCGCGGUAAUACGUAGGAGGCGAGCGUUGUCCGGAGUUACUGGGCGUAAAGCGUCCGCAGGCGGUCAACCAAGUUCGGAGUGACAGGUGGUGGCUCAACUGCCACAGGCCUUCGAAAACUGGUUGACUUGAGAGCUUCAGAGGGAGGCGGAAUUCCGGGUGGAGUGGUGAAAUGCGUAGAGAU